AACGUACGCUGGCGGCGCGCCUAGCACAUGCAAGUCGAACGAAGUAGCAAUUCUUAGUGGCAGACGGGUGAGUAACAUGUGGGUAUCUGUUCUUUGGCCUGGAAUAACACGAGGAAACUUGUGCUAAUACCGGAUAAGUCUUUACGGAGAAAGCUUUAUGCAUCAUUGGAUGAGGCUGCGCUUGAUUAGUUUCUUGGUGGGGUAAUGUCCUGCCAAGGCUAUGAUCAAUAGCUGAUUUGAGAGGAUGAUCACGCACAUUGGUACUGAGACACGCAGCAAUGUGGUACGGGAGGCAGCAGUGGGGAAUCUUGCACAAUGGAGGAACCUGCGAGACAGCGAUGCUGCGUGAGUGAAGAAGCUCUUUGGUUGGUAGAACUCUUUUGUCGGGUAAGUAAAUGACUGUACUCUAAUAAUAAGGUUCGGCUAACUUCGUG
rnacentral:rRNA from 1 species